rnacentral:rRNA from 1 species
UACGUAGGUGGCGAGCGUUGUCCGGAUUUACUGGGCGUAAAGAGCGCGCAGGCGGUCGUACAAGUCGCGUGUGAAAGCCCCCGGCUCAACUGGGGAGGGUCACGCGAUACUGUUCGACUCGAAGGCAGGAGAGGGUAGUGGAAUUCCCGGUGUAGUGGUGAAAUGCGUAGAUAUCUGGAGGAACACCGGUGGCGAGGGCGGCAUCCUGGACCGGUAUUGACGCUGAGGCGCGAAAGCUAGGGGAGCAAACGGG